rnacentral:rRNA from 1 species
AACGCGAAGAACCUUACCCAGGCUCGACAUGUAGAGGACAACAUCUGAAAGGAUGCCUCCCGCAAGGGUCUCUAUAUAGGUGCUGCAUGGCUGUCGUCAGCUCGUGCCGUGAGGUGUUGGGUUAAGUCCCGCAACGAGCGCAACCCUUAUUGUUAGUUGCCAACGAGUCAAGUCGGGAACUCUAACAAGACUGCCUGGGUUAACCAGGAGGAAGGUGAGGAUGACGUCAAGUCCGCAUGGCCUUUAUGUCUGGGGCCACACACGUGCUACAAUGGCAGGUACAGAAGGCAGCGAAGCCGCAAGGUAGAGCAAAUCCUAAAAAACCUGUCUCAGUUCGGAUUGUAGUCUGCAACUCGACUACAUGAAGUUGGAAUUGCUAGUAAUGGCGGGUCAGCUACACCGCCGUGAAUACGUUCCCGGGCCUUGUACACACCGCGUGUCU